UAGCUAGUCCGUUGCCAUGGCAACCCAGA
rnacentral:piRNA from 1 species